UAGACAGAUAAUAUUAUAAAUAUUAUAUAAUUAUUAAUAUUAUAUGUAUUACAAAUAUUAUUCAAAUAUUUUAAUAAGUAUUAAAAUAAUUCUAAUUAUUGAGUGUAAUAGUAACUUUAUUUGAAAAUUUUUUAUUUGAAAACUAGUUAUUUUCUCAAUAAGUUCAAUAUCUAACUCUAUAGUAUCCAGUAAUAAUAUAAUAAGUAAACUAUUAAUCAAACAGAAAAUGAGAUACAUAGUACAUUAGUCAGUCGAGAACUAUUAUUGAGAGGUACAUAGUAAUGAGACAAGAGAAUAUAUAUAGGCAUAUGGUAUUCACAGAUAGUAAUAUUAGUCAAUCAAGAAAUAAUAUAGACAGAAAUUAAUCAAACAAAAAAUAAUAUAAGUAUAUUACAAGUAAGUGUUUAUAUUCAGAUAAAUAAUAAUAGCAUAUAUUAUGUACAUAUAUAGACAGAAUAAUAUAAAUAUAUAUUCAUUGAGAAAAAGUAAGGCAUAUUCUAAAAGCAUAUUCAAACAACAAGUACAUAAGAAUCAGAUAAUAAAUAUUAUAAGUAUAUAUUUACAUAUUCAUGCAGAAUAGUAUAUUAGUAUAUUAGUAUAUUAGUAUAAUACAGAAUAGCAGAAUUGUUAAAGAGUGAGAUAUAUUCUAGUCAAAUAAAAAUCAAAUAGAGAAUAUUAUAGAUAUGCUGUUCAAACAAUAGCACUUACUAAUCAGAAAUAAACACAGACACAUUAGAUAUUAUAAAUAUAUACUAUUCAAACAAAUGAUAAUACAUAUUAAUUAGACAGAAAGUAACAUAUAUUAUAUAUUGAGCAUAACUUAAAAAUUUCAAAUAAAGUUACUUUAAGUAAUUAUUUAUUAAAAUGCUUGAAUAACAUUUAUUCAUUUAUUAAUCAAUAAUGGGUAAAAUUUAGUAGUUGAAGUUAUGAAUGAAGUUACUUAUAAUUAUAAAUUAUUUCAAUAUAUUCUUCAAAAGAUAAUAAUAAUUGCAAAUAAUUGUAAUGGCCGAGAUUAUAUGAAAAGUAGAUCGAUAAUAACUAAUGAAUAAUUACUUAAAAUAACUUUAUUCGAAAUUUUUAACUAGUUACUUGUUUAACAGAUUAAUGCCCAACUCUGUUCGUUGGCCAUUAUAGUUGAUCCGUAUAAUCUCGGUUGUUUGCUACUACAAUUAUUUGCGAUUAUUAUUAUGUUUUGAAUAUAAAUUAUUAAAAUAAUAAAAUAAAGUUAUCGAACUUUAACUUUAUUCGUAACUUCGACUAUUAAAUACGAUAUACUAUAUAUCGCAUAUACUAAUCAAACGACAAGUAGCGUAAGCAGGUAAUAGUCAGACAAGAGGUAGUAUAGAUCCAUAAUAAUAAGGAAAAGAGUAAUACAUGCACGUUUUGCACGAAUAGGAAUUGAUAAUAAUAAUGUUUGAUUAAUUAAUCAUUAAAAUUAUCUUAUAUACUGUUUUAUUAAACACACAUUAAUUAUACUGUCUGACAAAAAUAUCUUCAGAAUAGCCCUAAUAUUUCUUUUCCUUAUCUUUCUAACAUAAAAUUCGUUAUUUUUUCGAAUUUGCAUCAUUGUCAUUGGAUAUUUUAACGAAUUGUCUUUGGAAGAUACAAAUUUCACAUUAUUAACACGGUUAUACCUCUUUAAGAAAUUAAACGCAGAAAGAAUUAGUUUUCUCUUUAGAGAAGUGAAAUUAGUGAAAUCGAUCGGAUCGGAUAGGUUAGCAGUGGAUGCUUUAAAAGUGAACAGAAUUGUGGGGGAGGCAUCGAUCGAGAUACGGGCUUCCAAAGGAACAAAUUCAAACCUCCCAAUUAUCGGAACAGAUUGGCCAGAGUUCCAAGUGCACGCAACUUGAGCCUUGAUCGGGGUGAAUAUCGAGCUGGAACGAUCAAACAAGAGGCAGAAAUUGGCGCAAAUAGGUAACGAUGGACACGUCCAUUCAUGAUGAAUGGAUUCGUUCGCACGUGAAUGAAUGGAAGAUAGCACGGGAAGAAGGAUUCAAGAAAAUUCUCCCGGCCCGGCUUUUAAUCUACUGUGUAAAUCAUCAGUUUUGUAACCACCUGUGCAAAUGUACUUUCCCUCUUUCGCAAAUGUACACACAAAAUGGUGGAACAGGACGGAUCCGAAACUUGGAAAAUAGAUCAGAGACAGAUUGAGAGGGAUAAUACGCGAAAUAUUCGCUCGAUUGGAUGAACAGGGACAGUGACAGAUCAUCAGUUUUGAACCUGUGUAUGUGGAAAGAGAGAGAAAGAGAGGAAAAGAUGAACGUUGAAUCUAUCCUAACAUUUACACAAGAUUCUUCAAAUGCUAAAUUUAUACCUUCAGCAGCUUUUACCCUACGUUUUCCAAAUUUAAACUCAUGAAAAAAGAUACGAAUCGUCAAUAUUCGUAAUGUGGAAUAAUUUCCACGAUAUAUAUAAGUAUAUAUAUAUAUUUUUUUAAAUAUUUCAAAGUUAAAAUCGUGAUUAUUAUUUAUUUAAAAUUAAUUUAAAAAUCUUAAAAUCGUAGAUGGAUCUCAUCUGUGUGUGUGUGUAUUUCGUAUAUACGACGUUAAUAAUAAUUUCUAAGUAACUAAUAUUUUAUACUUGCAGAGUUUCAAAGAUGGUGUGGUGGAAUAGGGAUAUUGAUAUCGAUACGAUGGAAAGAACGAGAUAUAUAUAUCGGGUCUUCUAUAUUGAUUUAUCGAUAUAAUCAUAUUUUUCUCGUUGCCACAACGUGAACUAUCUUUUCAUCUAUGUCAAAAGUUAUUUUCGUUUUUUUUUUUCUUUUCUUUUUCUUUCUUUCUUUUUUUUUUCCACCAGAAUUUUUUCAAUAUAAAUUCCACCGUUUAAUGAGAAUCCGUCCCUUUUCUUCGUCUCGUCUUUGCUAUUUUAUUUAAAAAAAAAUGCAUCUCUUUCGUAUAUCCUUUCAUAAACACAAUUAUGUUGAUAUUACGGUGUAUUGUUUUGAAACUAUCUUUUAUUACGAUUCUACGAUUUUAAUUCGUGCAUAAUUUGAUGUAAGAUUCUAACAUAUUUAUUUCUACGAUUUAUUUAGAAUUUUAAGAUUGGUCUUGAAGAAGAUAUGCCGGUUAUAGUAUUGUAUAUCGAUCUAUCGAUAUACUUGUGCACAGUAUGAGGGAGGAAUUACAUACGUUUGUGGCUUAGCUACUUACAUUUUAGACGCUUUGCUCCGAUUCCUCAUGUAAAUUGCGUCGUUUCCGGUUGACGGAUCACAGUCAGACGCUGCCUCUUCUAUGUAUAAGACACGCUGCAAUCGAUUUUUAACCCCUUUCGUUCUCACGCUCACCAUUUUCUUAUUUCGGCCCGCCUUCAGUUUUCAUCAAUUUCCAUUUUAAACAUUUCAAAAUAUACUGGUAUUUAUAAUUUUUUUUUGGACAAACUUUGCAAAUUUAACAUUAUUUAACAUUUUAAUCAAUGGACCAACUUUCCUUUUCAGGCCAAAUUUUGAUCCAUUUAAACCAUUUUCAAAAUGUACUAAUAUUUAUUAAAUAUUUAUUAAAUGUAAUAAGUAAGUAGUAUCUAUAAUUCUUUUUUUUUUGAAUAAACGUUGCAAAUAUGUUAUUUAACAUUUUAAUCAAUGGAUCAACUUUCAUUUUCAGGCCAAAUUUUGAUUAAUUCUGUUUAAACGUUCCAAAGUGUAUUGAUAUUAAUAAAUAUAUCAUUAACUUAUAAUAAGCAAUUGUUAUUUAUAGCUUUGUUUGGUAAAACAUUUCAUUUAAUUAAUGGACCAACUUUCAUUUUCAGGCCAAAUUUUGAUCAAUUCCAUUUAAACGUUCCAAAAUAUACUAAUAUCUAUUAAAUAUUGUAAUGAGUAAGUAGUAUUUAUAAUUCUUUUUUCUUUUGGAUAAACGUUGCAAAUAUGUUAUUUAACAUUUUAAUCAAUGGACCAACUUUCAUUUUCAGGCCAAAUUUUGAUUAAUUCUGUUUAAACGUUCCAAAGUGUAUUGAUAUUAAUAAAUAUAUCAUUAACUUAUAAUAA